GCGGGAAUAGCUCAGUUGGCUAGAGCGAAAGCCUUCCAAGCUUUAGGUCGCGGGUUCGAGCCCCGUUUCCCGCUCCA
rnacentral:tRNA from 3 species